GCCCCUGUAGUUUUAGCCUGGUUAAAACAGGCCCUUGGUAAGGGUCAGUCAGGAGUUCGAAUCUCCUCGGGGGCACCA
rnacentral:tRNA from 1 species